rnacentral:lncRNA from 1 species
CUUUUUUCCCUUAAUCAACUUUCAAGAAAGCACAGAUCUUAUCUACUUUGUCCCAGCCCUGCUCUGAGAGCCCAAAGAUCUGCAUGAGGAGCCACAAAACAGAUGUCAUAUUUCUAGGGGCUGGUUGUAACUCAAGUUGGUCAACUGAAGUCUCAGGCUCCUCUGUACAGCCUUCAAAGUCUCUCUUCUGUAUACAGGCAGAUCUCAGUGCCCUUAGAGAGACAUUGGCCCAGGACUUCUCAAUUAACCCCACA